CCUGUGCCAACUUCCCCAACAUACCCAAGAAUUUCUUUAUUUAGAAACUCUCAUGUGCUAUUUUUUUUAAAUCUCUGGAAUCUCAGGGAUUUUCCCAUCCCUCUACAUGCUCGAGACGUUUCAGGGCAUGGUAACCCCCUGUUGGAAUCCUCUAACUCUUCUGUUUUAUUUUUAUAAUGUGGGCUGUAUUAGUGUACAGGAAGUGACUGUUCCUAUGACAAAGGAGGGUGAGAUUCCCAGAGUGUAUGGCAAUACCACUGAAGACUGUUGUGGAGAAGGCAACUCUGUGAGCCACCAAAGCCUCCUUUUAAGGCAUCCUUGAAAAUCAAGAGAUUUUGAAAUCAAGAGCUUUAUGAGAAGGGAUCGAAUUCCAGACGUUGUGCUUGGGAGGCAGGCAGUGGAACCGCUGAGCUAAAUCCCUGGCCCUAAAUUUAUUUUUUAUUUAAAUACUUCAACUAAAAUGCUUUCAUUAAAGAUUGUUUAAGUUAAAAUUUCAUAUUAUUUCAUCUCCUAGAUAAAAUAUAAGUCUUCAUUUCAUG
ensembl:lncRNA